rnacentral:misc_RNA from 1 species
GUUUUGAGCUUCUUGAGAUGCUUAAAGCACACAAGAAAGGUAUCCGUCGAGCCACAGUGAAUACAUUUGGGUAUAUUGCUAAAGCGAUUGGACCUCAGGAUGUGCUUGCAACAUUGUUGAACAAUCUUAAGGUGCAGGAACGUCAGAACCGUGUCUGUACCACUGUCGCUAUUGCUAUUGUUGCAGAAACCUGUUCUCCCUUUACAGUCUUGCCUGCCUUGAUGAACGAAUAUCGCGUGCCUGAGCUUAAUGUCCAGAAUGGUGUCUUGAAA